CCUACGGGUGGCAGCAGUGAGGAAUAUUGGUCAAUGGACGAGAGUCUGAACCAGCCAAGUAGCGUGAAGGAUGACUGCCCUAUGGGUUGUAAACUUCUGUUAUAAAGGAAUAAAACGAGGCACGUGUGCCUUUUUGCAUGUACGUUAUGAAUAAGGAUCGGCUAACUCCGUGCCAGCAGCCGCGGUAAUACGGAGUAUCCGAGCGUUAUCCGGAUUUAUUGGGUUUAAUGGGAGCGUAGAUGGGUUGUUAAGUCAGUUGUGUACGUUUGCGGCGCAACCGUAAAAUUGCACUUGAUACUGGCAGUCUUGAGUCCAGUUGAGGUAGGCGGACUUCUUGUUGUAGCGUU
rnacentral:rRNA from 1 species